CUCUCCUUAGGCUGGGAGGGGCCAAGCCGCUGGCCCGUGAGCCUGGGGCAGCUCUGGACUGUGCUUGCUGUCCUUGAGGAGAAUGCAGCCAGCCCAGGGCAAAUCAGAGCCAGGCAGGAAGUGUUCCCUGUGAACCCAUGAGACUUCAUCCCUGCGUUGGUCUGGCUGGCUUUCCCUGUGAGAUACAGGUUCCUCCUGAAGAGCUGAAGCUCCAUUCCAGCUCUAGACUUCUCCUUGCUUUCAGACUUCAAGAUGAGAAGCAUUUUUCCAGUCCACAAGUGUUAGAGGACACUGCCGAUGAUGUGUGUUUUGCCCAGGCUGGACUCAGCUUCUUUGUCUCGAUGCAAGGAAGACUGGGAAAUGCAGUAUACAGCUGGAGACAUCAUUGCCCUAAAUAAAAAUAGGACUCUUACCAAGAAGGGAGAGGAGAAUGGAUAUUGGGUGGCAUCACAGUCUCUCACACCUGAGCAUCUGAUUCUGUCAGAAGUUAAAUGAUGACCUCUCCUGUGGAUCCCUGGGUUCUUAUGAAGCAUGAGUAUAAUACAAGAUGUCAACAGGUAUUG
rnacentral:lncRNA from 1 species